AGGAGUGCAGCUCAGUGCUAGAGUGUGUGUUUAGUAUGCGUGAGGCCCUGGGUUUGACCCCCAGCACUAUUC
rnacentral:tRNA from 1 species